GGCGGAGCGGGGCGGCACCGGCAGGGCGGGGCGGACAGCGAUCGGGACAGGACCGCGGUCUGCGAGCGGGAACAGGACCGGCGGGGCAGCAUGGGACCGGGACCGGGACACGGCAGAGUGGCGCGGAACAUCACGGGAGGGGUCCUGCCCUUCCCGCCCCAGUGCCCGGGCAGGGGCUCCCCCACCUCUGUGCUGGUCUCCGCUGCGUGUCGAUCUGUGACGUGACCAGCUGGAUGUUCAUGGGGCGCCCUGCAGGAGGAGAGCAGCGGGGAACUGGAGGUCUUUGUUGAAGAUGAAUCAAAGUGGCAACAACUGAAAAUACUGCAGACCCCAGACACUUACUCAGUGGGGAAUGACCACGUGAGUGCAGGGAUCCACAAGACCAUGGCACUUUUACUGCUGGACUUGUGCCCAUCAGGAACAUACCCCAAAAAUGGAGCCCAACAAAGUCCUCUGCUGAGGUCUGCCCUUUGCUGCUACAAAGGCUGGAAAUAAAGAGGCAGCAACAGAGGCACCAA